rnacentral:rRNA from 1 species
AACGAACGCUGGCGGCAGGCUUAACACAUGCAAGUCGAACGGAUCCUUCGGGAUUAGUGGCAGACGGGUGAGUAACGCGUGGGAACGUACCCUUUGCUACGGAAUAACUCAGGGAAACUUGAGCUAAUACCGUAUGUGCCCUACGGGGGAAAGAUUUAUCGGCAAAGGAUCGGUCCGCGUUGGAUUAGCUAGUUGGUGGGGUAAUGGCCUACCAAGGCGACGAUCCAUAGCUGGUCUGAGAGGAUGAUCAGCCACACUGGGACUGAGACACGGCCCAGACUCCUACGGGAGGCAGCAGUGGGGAAUAUUGGACAAUGGGCGCAAGCCUGAUCCAGCCAUGCCGCGUGAGUGAUGAAGGUCUUAGGAUUGUAAAGCUCUUUCACCGGUGAAGAUAAUGACGGUAGCCGGAGAAGAAGCCCCGGCUAACUUCGU